rnacentral:lncRNA from 1 species
GUUUACAGUAGAAAUAAUGGCAUAAGUUUUCUUGCUUUUAUUAGUAAUCACAUUAAUGCAUUCUAUAACUGAAAUUGUACAGCUUUUCACUUGAAGGUUAAACAUUUUUAAUCCUACAUUGGGUAUGUGACUGUCAGGGCAAGUCUGAGGAACCUGUCAUUCUGGGUAUGCCACAGCUUCCUCCAUAAAUAAAAACUGGCCACAUCAAAAUAGCCCAAAAGGGUUACUCAAAAGUGGUGUUAGAUACACAUAGAAUAAAUCAAUCAAUAAAUAAAAAGAAAAACAACAAAAAAAAAAGACAUGGCCAAAAUGCAACAUCAAACGAUUAAAUGUAUUAGCCCCAUUAAGUGCUGUAUUAAAAUAAUUAUAUUGGAAUAGUUUCAAUAAUCACGAGUAAUCAUCGAG